rnacentral:rRNA from 1 species
GGCCUACCAUGGUGGUAACGGGUAACGGGGUGUUAGGGCACGACACCGGAGAGGGAGCCUGAGAAACGGCUACCACAUCCAAGGAUGGCAGCAGGCGCGCAAAUUACCCAAUCCCGACACGGGGAGGUAGUGACAAUAAAUAACAAUACGGGAUUCUAAAGGAUUUCGUAAUUGGAAUGAGUACAAUUUAAAUCUCUUAACGAUCAACAAUUGGAGGGCAAGUCUGGUGCCAGCAGCCGCGGUAAUUCCAGCUCCAAUAGCGUAUAUUAAAGUUGUUGCAGUUAAAAAGCUCGUAGUUGAAUUUCGGGGUUAGUAGGUUGGUCAUGCCUCUGGUAUGUACUGAUCUCACUGAUUCCUCCCUCUUGACGAACUGUAAUGUCAUUAAUUUGGUGUUGCAGGAAAUCAGGACUGUUACUUUGAAAAAAUUAGAGUGUUUAAAGCAGGCUAAGGCUUGAAUACAUUAGCAUGGAAUAAUGAAAUAGAACGUUUGAACCUAUUUUGUUGGUUUCUAGGAUCGACGUAAUGAUUAAUAGGGAUAGUUGGGGGCAUUAGUAUUCAAUUGUCAGAGGUGAAAUUCUUGGAUUUAUUGAAGACUAACUACUGCGAAAGCAUUUGCCAAGGAUGUUUUCAUUAAUCAAGAACGAAAGUUAGGGGAUCGAAGACGAUCAGAUACCGUCGUAGUCUUAACCAUAAACUAUGCCGACUAGGGAUCGGAUGAUGUUAAUUUUUUAAUGACUCAUUCGGCGCCUUACG